UAGACCUACGGGGCGCAGCAGUGGGGAAUAUUGCACAAUGGGGGGAACCCUGAUGCAGCGACGCCGCGUGGGUGAAGGAGUAUUUCGGUAUGUAAAGCCCUAUCAGCAGGGAAGAACAAUGACGGUACCUGACUAAGAAGCACCGGCUAAAUACGUGCCAGCAGCCGCGGUAAUACGGAGGAUGCGAGCGUUAUCCGGAUUUAUUGGGUUUAAAGGGUGCGUAGGCGGAAUGCCAAGUCAGCGGUAAAAUCGCGGGGCUCAACCUCGCUCCGCCGUUGAAACUGGCGUUCU
rnacentral:rRNA from 1 species